CCUGCAUCAGACGGACGCUGUGGGGCGGCACUCCGAACUCUUUGGCCGCUUUCAGCCGCGCCUCUGCCUCCGUACGGCCGCACACCCACGGCCCGUCCGCCGCCCCGUUGGGGUCGUGGGCUGCACUCUCCCCUUCGAUGCGGACCCGAUAGGCCGGAAUGCGGUGCCCCCACCACAGCUGCCUCGAAAUGCACCAAUCCCUUAUAUUGUCCAUCCACGUGAACCAGGUGCGGGUGUGCUGGGGGGGUCUGAGGCGCAGCUCCCCCCUCCUGACGGCAGCGCUCGCCCCCCGCGCCAACUCAGCGCAGCGCACGAACCACUGCGGCCGCAGCAGCGGCUCCACCACGUCCUGCGUGCGGCUGC
rnacentral:lncRNA from 1 species